GCAGUGGUGGUUCAGUGGUAGAAUUCUCACCUUCCAUUGGGGGAAACCCGGGUUUGGUUCCCAGCCAAUGCA
rnacentral:tRNA from 1 species